UUGGAGGGCAAGUCUGGUGCCAGCAGCCGCGGUAAUUCCAGCUCCAAUAGCGUAUAUUAAAGUUGUUGCAGUUAAAAAGCUCGUAGUUGAGUUUCGGGAUUGGCACAUCGGUCGUGCCUUAAGGGGCAUGAACUGGUGUGGCCAAUUUCUCACCUUCUGGAGAACCGCGAUGUCCUUAAUUGGGUGCCGCGAGGAACCAGGACCUUUACUUUGAAAAAAUUAGAGUGUUUAAAGCAGGCAUUUUGCUUGAAUACAUUAGCAUGGAAUAAUAAAAUAGGACGGAUGAUUCUAUUUUGUUGGUUUCUAGGACCACCGUAAUGAUUAAUAGGGAUAGUUGGGGGCAUUAGUAUUCAAUUGUCAGAGGUGAAAUUCUUGGAUUUAUUGAAGACUAACUACUGUGAAAGCAUUUGCCAAGGAUGUUUUCAUUAAUCAAGAACGAAAGUUAGGGGAUCGAAGACGAUCAGAUACCGUCGUAGUCUUAACCAUAAACUAUGCCGACUAGGAAUCAGACGAUGUUAAUUUUUUAAUGACUCGUUUGGCACCUUACGGGAAACCAAAGUGUUUGGGUUC
rnacentral:rRNA from 1 species